rnacentral:rRNA from 1 species
ACUCUGACCAGCCAUGCCGCGUGCAGGAUGACUGCCCUAUGGGUUGUAAACUGCUUUUGUCAGGGAAUAAACCUUUCUACGUGUGGAAAGCUGAAUGUACCUGAAGAAUAAGGAUCGGCUAACUCCGUGCCAGCAGCCGCGGUAAUACGGAGGAUCCAAGCGUUAUCCGGAUUUAUUGGGUUUAAAGGGUGCGUAGGCGGUCCUAUAAGUCAGUGGUGAAAGACGGCAGCUUAACUGUCGCAGUGCCUUUGAUACUGUAGGACUUGAAUCUAUUUGAAGUGGGCGGAAUAAGACAAGUAGCGGUGAAAUGCAUAGAUAUGUCUUAGAACUCCGAUUGCGAAGGCAGCUCACUAAGUUAGUAUUGACGCUGAUGCACGAAAGCGUGGGGAUCAAACAGGAUUAGAUACCCUGGUAGUCCACGCCCUAAACGAUGAUAACUCGAUGUUUGCGAUACACAGUAAGCGUCCAAGCGAAAGCGUUAAGUUAUCCACCUGGGGAGUACGGUCGCAAGAUUGAAACUCAAAGGAAUUGACGGGGGCCCGCACAAGCGGAGGAGCAUGUGGUUUAAUUCGAUGAUACGCGAGGAACCUUACCCGGGCUUGAAAGUUAGUGAAUGAUCCAGAGACGGAUCAGUCC